AGCGAACGCUGGCGGCAGGCUUAACACAUGCCAGUCGAGCGGACCUUUCGGGGCCAGCGGCGGACGGGUGAGUAACGCGUGGGAACGUGCCUUCCGGUUCGGAAUAACCCUGGGAAACUAGGGCUAAUACCGGAUACGCCCUUAUGGGGAAAGGUUUACUGCCGGAAGAUCGGCCCGCGUCUGAUUAGCUAGUUGGUGGGGUAACGGCCUACCAAGGCGACGAUCAGUAGCUGGUCCGAGAGGAUGAUCAGCCACACUGGGACUGAGACACGGCCCAGACUCCUACGGGAGGCAGCAGUGGGGAAUAUUGGACAAUGGGCGCAAGCCUGAUCCAGCCAUGCCGCGUGAGUGAUGAAGGCCUUAGGGUUGUAAAGCUCUUUUAUCCGGGACGAUAAUGACGGUACCGGAGGAAUAAGCCCCGGCUAACUUCGUG
rnacentral:rRNA from 1 species